rnacentral:rRNA from 1 species
UACGUAGGUGGCAAGCGUUGUCCGGAUUUACUGGGCGUAAAGAGCGCGCAGGCGGUUGGAUAAGUCGAAUGUGAAAGCCCCCGGCUCAACUGGGGAGGGUCAUUCGAUACUGUCCGACUCGAAGGCAGGAGAGGGAAGCGGAAUUCCCGGUGUAGUGGUGAAAUGCGUAGAUAUCGGGAGGAACACCAGUGGCGAAGGCGGCGACCUGGGCCAAUACUGACGCUGAGGUGC